CACCCGAUUUUUCGUAGUUCGUUCGCCCGAUAUUCGCCGGGUUCGUUCAAGUACCAGAGGUAGACGGUUGCCGCGUGAGGAAGGGAACAAAUCGACCAGAGAAGCGAGCACGGUGAUGCGAUCGAGCCGGAUCGCAUGGGCACUGGCGAUCGCGUUCGCCGGGCUCCUCGCAUCGAACCUCGCCAGUGCGCAACGUCCCGAGCGCAACGCGCCGUCGCAC
rnacentral:ncRNA from 1 species